ACACCUGGAAACAGAUGCUAAUACCGCAUAACAACUUGGACCGCAUGGUCCGAGUUUGAAAGAUGGCUUCGGCUAUCACUUUUGGAUGGUCCCGCGGCGUAUUAGCUAGAUGGUGGGGUAACGGGCUCACCAUGGCAAUGAUACGUAGCCGACCUGAGAGGGUAAUCGGCCACAUUGGGACUGAGACACUGCCCAA
rnacentral:rRNA from 1 species